GACGAACGCUGGCGGCGUGCUUAACACAUGCAAGUCGAACGGAAAGGCCCUGCUUUUGUGGGGUGCUCGAGUGGCGAACGGGGGAGUAACACGUGAGUAACCUGCCCUUGACUUUGGGAUAACUUCAGGAAACUGGGGCUAAUACCGGAUAGGAUCUCCUGCUGCAUGGUGGGGGUUGGAAAGUUUCGGCGGUUGGGGAUGGACUCGCGGCUUAUCAGCUUGUUGGUGGGGUAGUGGCUUACCAAGGCUUUGACGGGUAGCCGGCCUGAGAGGGUGACCGGCCACAUUGGGACUGAGAUACGGACCAGACUCCUACGGGAGGCAGCAGUGGGGAAUAUUGCACAAUGGGCGGAAGCCUGAUGCAGCAACGCCGCGUGCGGGAUGACGGCCUUCGGGUUGUAAACCGCUUUCGCCUGUGACGAAGCGUGAGUGACGGUAAUGGGUAAAGAAGCACCGGCUAACUACGUG
rnacentral:rRNA from 1 species